rnacentral:rRNA from 1 species
GGGAUUGCCCUAGUAACGGCGAGUGAAGCGGCAACAGCUCAAAUUUGAAAUCUGGCCCCUAGGCCCGAGUUGUAAUUUGUAGAGGAUGCUUUUGGCGAAGUGCUUACCGAGUCCCCUGGAAUGGGGCGCCACAGAGGGUGAGAGCCCCGUAUGGUUUGCCACUGAACCUCUGUAAAGCUCCUUCGACGAGUCGAGUAGUUUGGGAAUGCUGCUCUAAAUGGGAGGUAAAUUUCUUCUAAAGCUAAAUACCGGCCAGAGACCGAUAGCGCACAAGUAGAGUGAUCGAAAGAUGAAAAGCACUUUGAAAAGAGGGUUAAAUAGCACGUGAAAUUGUUGAAAGGGAAGCGCUUGUGACCAGACUUGCGCCUGGAGGAUCAUCCAGGGUUCUCCCUGGUGCACUCCUUCAGGCUCAGGCCAGCAUCGGUUUUCGCCGGGGGACAAAAGCUUCGGGAACGUGGCUCCCUACGGGGAGUGUUAUAGCCCGUUGCAUAAUACCCCGGCGGGGACCGAGGACCGCGCUUCGGCAAGGAUGCUGGCGUAAUGGUCAUCAGCGACCCGUCUUGAAACACGGACCGAGGAGUCAAGCAUUAGUGCGAGUGUUUGGGUGUAAAACCCGCACGCGUAAUGAAAGUGAACGUAGGUGAGAGCUUCGGCGCAUCAUCGACCGAUCCUGAUGUUUUCGGAUGGAUUUGAGUAGGAGCAUUAACGCUUGGACCCGAAAGAUGGUGAACUAUACUUGAAUAGGGUGAAGCCAGAGGAAACUCUGGUGGAGGCUCGCAGCGGUUCUGACGUGCAAAUCGAUCGUCAAAUUUG